UUAAAAAAAAGAAAAAGGGCCCCCGUGGCCCAGUGGGUAGAGUGAUGCACUUGGAGUUUGGCGUGAGGGAAGUGAGGGGCGCGGAGGUUCGAACCCCCCUCUCGGAACUUACAAAAACCUUCAAAGAGCUUCCCUCCAUCACCAUGUGUGCCUCAAACACACAGGUACGGUGAUGGAGCUGCCCACGGGGAGGAGGGGAGGUGAGUGCGCAGCACCUCCCUACCCUCCCCAGGGGUGGAAGGCACCGCCUUACCACCCCCGGGAGAGCAAGGGAGGUGAGUGCACAGCGCUUCCCUUCUCUCCCCUACCUAACCCUGGCAAGUCUACGGACUACCGGGCAAAAAAUAAUAAAAAAAAAAAAAUAAAUAAAUAAAGGUAAGUGCAUAGCACUUCCCUACCAUGCAAAAGAAAAAUAAAUAAAAAAUAAAGGUGAGUGCAUGGCACUUCCCUUCUCUUGCUACUAAUCGUAACCCAGGAAAAAAAAAAAAAAAAUUAAUGACUAACUCUGGCAAGAAAGAUUAAAAAAAAACCUGACCCCUGGCACCACCAACCUAACCAACCAACCAACCACCUCCCCAUCCUGGCAACUGAUACUGGCAACUCAAAAAAAAAAACAGACUGACCCAGGGAAACAUGGGAGGUGAGUGUGCAGCACCUCCCUACCCUUCCCUGUCUCCCAGUUUGACUUUGAUUCAUUCAUCCUAGCAACUCCAAAGACCACCAGUAUCUCCUACUCUCCCACCAUGACUGACAACUGAUCCUGGUAAGGUGAGUGCGUAGCACUUCCCUACCACCAACCUGGCUCUGACCAUGACUAACCUUACAACUGACCGCCAAACUGACUGACCCUGGGGAGCAUGGGAGGUGAGUGUGCAGCACCUCCCUACACUUCCCAGUCUCUAACCACCAACCUGACUCAUCCCAGGAACUCCAAAGAGCAACUCCAAAUGUACAGACCACCAGUAUCUCCUACUCUCCCCACUGAUCCUGGCAAGGUGAGUGCGUAGCACUUCCCUACUGACCCUGGCCUGGCAUCCAACAACCAACCUGACUUACAAAUGUGUAAUCUGGCAACACACCACCAAACUGACUGACCCUGGGGAGCAUGGGAGGUGAGUGUGCAGCACCUCCCUACCCUCCCCAGUCUCCUAGUUUGACUCUGAACAUCCUGAUAAAUCCUAGCAAAUCCAAAGGGCAACUCCAACUGUACCGACCACCAACCAUCCUGGCAACUCCACCAACAUGACUGACCAAGAAGAAGAAGAAGAAGAAGCAGCAUCAUUACAGCCAUCAGAGGAAGAACUCCAAACUCUAACUGUACCAACUUCCAACCUAACUGACUCCAACUGUACCCAUCACCAACCUAACUGACUCUGGGGAGCAGGGGAGAUGAGUGUGCAGCACCUCCCUAACCCCCAAUCUGAUUCUGACUUUGGCAACAGACCACUAAACUGACUGACCCUAGUAACUGAUCCUGACUGACAGCAGACUACCAAACUGACUGACUAAGGGAAGGUGAGUGUGCAGCAGCACCUUGCCAGUCUCUGAUGAAGAAGAACAAGAAGCACUACCAUCCUGGCAGCUACAAAGACCACCAACCUGACUGACCAACUAACUAUACAGACCACCAAUCUCACUGAUUCUGACUCCUGACUCUGACUCCUACACUCUCAGCCUGACUGACCCUGGCAACUGAUCCGGCAACCUGACUGACUCUGGCAACAGACAUCCGAACUGACUGACUAAGGGGAGGUGAGUGUGCAGCACCUCCUCACCAACCACUUCCAACUUCCAGCCUGACGGACUCAGGCAACUCCAAAACUCCUGACAACUUCAGAGUGACGCUGGGGAGGAGGGGAGGUGAGUGUGCAGCACCUCCCUACCCCCAAUCUGAUUCUGACCACCAGCCUGACUCUGGCCUAUUACUCUGGCAACAGACCACCAAACUGACUGAACCUGGGGAGCAUGGGGGGGUGAGUGUGCAGCACCUCCCUACCCUUCCCAGUCUCCCAGUUUGACUCUUAGCACCAAGAUGAUUCACUCAUUGAUUCGGGGGAGGUGAGUGCAAUACCUCCUAUCUAACACUGACUACAGACCUGACUGACUCUGGAGAGGAGGGGAGGUGAGUGUGCAGCACCUGCCUGACUGACCCUGGCAACUGAGACUCUCGCGAAUAGAUGGGGCACUUUCAUCAUUAAUUACU